AGUGAACGCUGGCGGUAGGCCUAACACAUGCAAGUCGAACGGCAGCACAGUAAGAGCUUGCUCUUACGGGUGGCGAGUGGCGGACGGGUGAGGAAUACAUCGGAAUCUACUUUUUCGUGGGGGAUAACGUAGGGAAACUUACGCUAAUACCGCAUACGACCUACGGGUGAAAGCAGGGGAUCUUCGGACCUUGCGCGAUUGAAUGAGCCGAUGUCGGAUUAGCUAGUUGGCGGGGUAAAGGCCCACCAAGGCGACGAUCCGUAGCUGGUCUGAGAGGAUGAUCCGCCACACUGGAACUGAGACCCGGUCCCGACCCCUACGGGGGGCAGCAGGGGGGAAUAUUGGAAAAUGGGCGCAAGCCUGAUCCAGCCAUACCGGGGGGGUGAAGAAGGCCUUCGGGUUGUAAAGCCCUUUUGUUGGGAAAAAAAAGCAGCAGGUUAAAACCCCGCUGUUCUGACGGUACCCAAAGAAUAAGCACCGGCUAACUUCGU
rnacentral:rRNA from 1 species